CAUGUGGUCAAACAGUGGCCCCACUGAGACCUCAGUGCCUAGUUUUCCAGGCAGUGCUAGCAGUCAAUAGCAGAGCUGAGCUAGCAUCACACAGCAUGAGAAAAAAACAGAGCAUUAAAACACAUAAUGGAUAUAGGCUGUUGCAGAGAACUCCAAAUGAGGCUACAGAGAGGUCAAGCACCAGCCAGAGGUCAUUUUAUGUAAACAGAAGUGGAAAGCA